AGAAUGAACGCUGGCGGCAUGCCUAACACAUGCAAGUCGAACGAAGGCUUCGGCCUUAGUGGCGCACGGGUGCGUAACGCGUGGGAAUCUACCCUUAGGUUCGGAAUAACAGUUGGAAACGACUGCUAAUACCGGAUGAUGACGUAAGUCCAAAGAUUUAUCGCCUAGGGAUGAGCCCGCGUAGGAUUAGCUAGUUGGUGUGGUAAAGGCGCACCAAGGCGACGAUCCUUAGCUGGUCUGAGAGGAUGAUCAGCCACACUGGGACUGAGACACGGCCCAGACUCCUACGGGAGGCAGCAGUGGGGAAUAUUGGACAAUGGGCGAAAGCCUGAUCCAGCAAUGCCGCGUGAGUGAUGAAGGCCUUAGGGUUGUAAAGCUCUUUUACCCGGGAUGAUAAUGACAGUACCGGGAGAAUAAGCUCCGGCUAACUCCGCGCCAGCAGCGC
rnacentral:rRNA from 1 species